rnacentral:rRNA from 1 species
GGUCAUUUAGAGNAAGUAAAAGUCGUAACAAGGUCUCCGUUGGUGAACCAGCGNAGGGAUCAUUACCGAGUUUACAACUCCCAAACCCCUGUGAACAUACCAAUUGUUGCCUCGGCGGAUCAGCCCGCUCCCGGUAAAACGGGACGGCCCGCCAGAGGACCCCUAAACUCUGUUUCUAUAUGUAACUUCUGAGUAAAACCAUAAAUAAAUCAAAACUUUCAACAACGGAUCUCUUGGUUCUGGCAUCGAUGAAGAACGCAGCAAAAUGCGAUAAGUAAUGUGAAUUGCAGAAUUCAGUGAAUCAUCGAAUCUUUGAACGCACAUUGCGCCCGCCAGUAUUCUGGCGGGCAUGCCUGUUCGAGCGUCAUUUCAACCCUCAAGCCCAGCUUGGUGUUGGGACUCGCGAGUCAAAUCGCGUUCCCCAAAUUGAUUGGCGGUCACGUCGAGCUUCCAUAGCGUAGUAGUAAAACCCUCGUUACUGGUAAUCGUCGCGGCCACGCCGUUAAACCCCAACUUCUGAAUGUUGACCUCGGAUCAGGUAGGAAUACCCG